rnacentral:rRNA from 1 species
ACUCCUACGGGAGGCAGCAGUGGGGAAUAUUGCACAAUGGGGGAAAGCCCAUCGAUGCAGCCAUGCCGCGUGUGUGAAGAAGGCCUUCGGGUUGGUAAAGACACUUUCAGUAGGGAGGAAGGUAGUGUAGUUAACACCUGCAUUAUUUGACGUUACCUACAGAAGAAGCACCGGCUAACUCCGUGCCAGCAGCCGCGGUAAUACGGAGGGUGCGAGCGUUAAUCGGAAUUACUGGGCG